rnacentral:rRNA from 1 species
UUAUAUGAGAGUUUGAUCCUGGCUCAGGAUGAACGCCGGCGGUGUGCCUAAUACAUGCAAGUCGAACGCGUUGGCCCAAUUGAUUGAUGGUGCUUGCACCUGAUUGAUUUUGGUCGCCAACGAGUGGCGGACGGGUGAGUAACACGUAGGUAACCUGCCCAGAAGCGGGGGACAACAUUUGGAAACAGAUGCUAAUACCGCAUAACAGCGUUGUUCGCAUGAACAACGCUUAAAAGAUGGCUUCUCGCUAUCACUUCUGGAUGGACCUGCGGUGCAUUAGCUUGUUGGUGGGGUAACGGCCUACCAAGGCGAUGAUGCAUAGCCGAGUUGAGAGACUGAUCGGCCACAAUGGGACUGAGACACGGCCCAUACUCCUACGGGAGGCA